UGGCGGACGGGUGAGAAACGCGUUGGUGAUCUGCCUUGAAGUGUGGAAUAACGUUUCGAAAGGAACGCUAAUACCGCAUGUGCUCUCGAUUUUCAGAAAGUUGAGAGUAAAGGAUUUAUUCGCUUCAAGAGGAGCCUGCGUCCCAUCAGCUGGUUGGUAGGGUAACGGCCUACCAAGGCUAUGACGGGUAGGGGACCUGAGAGGGUGGCCCCCCACAAUGGAACUGAAACACGGUCCAUACACCUACGGGUGGCAGCAGUGGGGAAUAUUGGGCAAUGGGGGGAACCCUGACCCAGCGACGCCGCGUGGGUGAAGAAAUCCUUCGGGAUGUAAAGCCCUGUUGUAUGGGAAGAGCAGAAGACGGUACCAUACGAGGAAGCCCCGGCAAACUACGUGCCAGCAGCCGCGGUAAUA
rnacentral:rRNA from 1 species